rnacentral:piRNA from 1 species
UGAUAAUAUUUGGGAGAUUCUGUUGUGUA